rnacentral:tRNA from 1 species
GGGCUUGUAGCUCAGCUUGGUUAGAGCGCACGCCUGAUAAGCGUGAGGUCGGAAGUUCAAGUCUUCUCAAGCCCACCA